rnacentral:lncRNA from 10 species
GGGUGAAUAGAAGAAGAUCAAGAGGCAGUGAUGUGUCAUUAUGAUCUCCAUUUCAUACACAAAGAACGGAGCUUCACAGUGAUUCAGAAAAGCCUGAAUUUGCAAAAAGUUUGUUUCGAUCAUCAUAGGCAAGGUGAAAUAGAAAGUCGAAGAAAUCAUCUCGGUCAUUACGAGUCCUCAAGUAGUUGCUUUUUGUACUUUGAAUAAAGACUUUAGUCAUAGUAGGAGAGAUAGACUGUAAUGGACUUACUUCACGAUGGCUGCACCAGAGGUUCCAAGAACGAUGGCUUUCAACUUCAACCCACAUCUAAAACACACCACUGUAGCCACACCCUACACCCUGUGGUUAUCCAGUUGUGAGUCCUAUUGGAGAGAUGAGGAAGAAUAUCAUGAAUUUAGCUGGUAUUAGAAAGUAGAACUUGGAAAAUAGAGUGUAACUGGAAAAUGAAGGGACUUAACUGAGACAAACAGCCUCUUCUUAUCCAUUUUUAAAAUGUUCAGAUUUAACUAGAUGACCAUGACCAUGAAGAACUUCUCAAGCUCUUUGGUUCUACAGGUGUAUGACAGUUUCCUGGAGGGGGUCAUAUGGAUCUACUACUACCUUCCCACUGACAUUAGGCAGAUGUUCAUUAGAUUGGUUUGAUAGAUGUAAUGGUUAAUAUUGAGUGUCAACUUGAUUGGAUUGAAGGAUGCAAAGUAUUGUUCCUGGGUGCGUCUGUGAGGGUGUUGCCAAAGGAGAUUAACAUUUGAAUCAUUGGACUGGGAGAGGCAGACCCACCCUCAAUCUGGGUGGGCACAAUCUAAUCAGCUGCCAGCAUGGCCAGCAUAAAAGCAGGCAGAAGAAUGUGGAAGGAGUAGACUGGCUCAGUCUCCUGGCCUACAUCUUUCUCCCACGCUGCAUGCUUCCUGCCCUCGAACAUUGGACUCCAAGUUCUUCAGUUUUGGGACUCUUGAACCUUUGACCACAGACUGAAGGCUACACUGUUGACUUCCCUACUUUUGAGCUUUUAGGACUCGGACUGGCUUCCUUGUUCCUCAGCUUGCAGACGGCCUAUUGUGGGACCUCACUUUGUGAUCAUGUGAGUCAAUACUCCUUAAUAAACUCUCCUUUAAAUAUACAUCUAUCUUGUUAGUUCUGUCCCUCUAGAGAACCUUGACUAAUACGAUAGGGAAGCCAUAGUGACUGUCACUAAUAUUCUAAUAAAAGAAUUAUUAUCUAUGCCAACUCUGGAGAGCCACAGGUAAGCUAUACAUAGAUCAAAGUGUAAACCAGGGGUUCUCUGAGUGUGAUUCCUGGACCAGCAGUAUGUGGUGACAUUUGAAAUGCAAAUUCUUGGGCCCCACCUCAGACCACUGAAUUAGAAACUCCAGAGGUGGAGCUCAGCAGUUUGUUUUAACUAGUUCUCCAGGUGAUGCUGAGGCACAUCACAGUUGGAAAUGGUGAGGUAAGUAAGGAAUUUCAGCAGUUCAACUGCUGAAAUGUAGAUCUUAACAAAGUGCUAAAUGAAUAGAGGAAAAAGGGAUAAUUAUCUGAGACAUUUGGAUCUUGUUUCACGAAUAGGAGUUCAGAUGAAGUUAGGGAGGUCUUUUGAAGUAUAGGAAACAAGACAUGCAAAGACUGGGGAGGUUAGGAAGACCAGACCUAUUUCAAGAUAUACAAUGGCCUAGUGGGGCUUGAGGUAGCAGGGUGCAUUCUUUUUCUUAGAUAUGCUUCCUCCUCUCUGCUCCAUGGUGCCACACAUGAUGCUGGUGAUAAAGGAGACUGAGCGAGGGUAAAGAUUCACAGUGCCAGCAAGGGCUUGGACAUUGGCAGCCUAUGGAUCAAAUUGUGCUUGCAGAUGGGCUGUAUUUGGUAUUUUAUUGUACAAACACUAUGUAUUUGGCAUAGCAUUAUACAAAUAAAUGUGAACUAACAUUUAAUAAUCAGUUUGGAUGUAUAUAUGUGUAUAUAUAUUAUGUAUAAAUAACAUAUAUGCUAACACAAAAAUAUAUGUGCUAUAUUUAUAUUCUAUACAAAUAACAUAUAAAUAUAUGUUAACAUAUAAAAAUAUAUG